CUAUAUUUUGGAUCUCGGCAAGACAGGUGUAUACGUGUGGGUUGGCAGAAAGUCAAACCAAAAGGAAAGAGGCGAAGCCCUGAAACGUGCACAACAAUAUUUGAAAGAAAGAAAUAUUCCAGAAUGGGUGCACGUGUCCAAAAUUCCCGAAGGUCUGGAGCCCGUUGCGUUCAAACAACAUUUCGAAUCUUGGGCUUAGAGCUUCAAAUAUUUGAAUUUAUUUACGUACGGUAGGUUACAGCGAACAAUAGCUGAGAAUUGUACAUAGCAUAAUAAACUUUAUCUCUAUUUUGUAACGUAUGAUACGGUAGCUGCAGGUGUUGCCGUACAAACAAAGCCAAACAGCCGAGAUUGUGUAAAAAUUCUCCAAAAGACGCGUAACCUGCUUUUCGGCUCGUAUCGUUUGUACGUUAAAUUGUGGACACAAUGUUCAUUAUGCUAUACAAUAUCGAAAAGUGACUGAAUGAAUAUUAUAUUAUAGAGGGUGAUUUGUAAAACAGUAACAACCUCGCAGGACUAUAUUACUAACAUCCUGAACAAUAACUUUCAUCCCAUGACUUUUAAUCGUUUAUCACAUUUCGUAUAAAAAUAAAAGAAAAAUUAUAAAAACGUGCGCUAUUUAUGUUCUGUUCCAUCCAUUUUAUAGAUAUUACGUGUAUAAUAUGAAAUAUGUAUUUACCUAAGUUUGUAGUAAUUUAGUAUAUUUGCUAUUUGUUGUAUUAUAUUAUUACGUAUCGAGUUCUUCUCUUUGGUUUUCGCGAUUGUUAUACAUAGGAAGUGAAACUAUUUUUCCGGAUUUACAUCGCGUAUAUUUGUUUCUUCAAAAAACA